rnacentral:rRNA from 1 species
AUUGAACGCUGGCGGCAUGCCUUACACAUGCAAGUCGAACGGUAACGGGCCUUCGGGUGCCGACGAGUGGCGCACGGGUGAGUAAUGCAUCGGAACGUGCCCGAUCGUGGGGGAUAACGAGGCGAAAGCUUUGCUAAUACCGCAUACGAUCUACGGAUGAAAGCAGGGGACCGCAAGGCCUUGCGCGGACGGAGCGGCCGAUGGCAGAUUAGGUAGUUGGUGGGAUAAAAGCUUACCAAGCCGACGAUCUGUAGCUGGUCUGAGAGGAUGAUCAGCCACACUGGGACUGAGACACGGCCCAGACUCCUACGGGAGGCAGCAGUGGGGAAUUUUGGACAAUGGGCGCAAGCCUGAUCCAGCCAUGCCGCGUGCAGGAUGAAGGCCUUCGGGUUGUAAACUGCUUUUGUACGGAACGAAAAGCCUUCUUUUAAUACAGGAGGGUCAUGACGGUACCGUAAGAAUAAGCACCGGCUAACUACGUGC